CCCUCUUUAGAGCCGCGCCAUGGAAUCGAGAGCUCCAAGUGGGCCAUUUUUGGUAAGCAGAACUGGCGAUGCGGGAUGAACCGGAAGCUGGGUUACGGUGCCCAACUGCGCGCUAACCUAGACCCCACAAAGGGUGUUGGUCGAUUAAGACAGCAGGACGGUGGUCAUGGAAGUCGAAAUCCGCUAAGGAGUGUGUAACAACUCACCUGCCGAAUCAACUAGCCCCGAAAAUGGAUGGCGCUAAAGCGCGCGACCUAUACCCGGCCGUCGGGGCAAGGACCAAGCCCCGAUGAGUAGGAGGGCGCGGCGGUCGCUGCAAAACCCAGGGCGCGAGCCCGGGCGGAGCGGUCGUCGGUG
rnacentral:ncRNA from 1 species